rnacentral:tRNA from 1 species
CAGAUAAUAGUUUAAUUAAAACACCGGCUUUGGGUGCCAAUAAUCUCACAAGAGUUAUCUGA